rnacentral:rRNA from 1 species
GUCUUUUUGUUAAUAAUUUAAAGUCUAAUCUGCCCACUGAUAUAUUUAUUAAAGGGCUGCAGUAUUUUGACUGUACAAAGGUAGCAUAAUCAUUAGUCUUUUAACUGGUGACUUGUAUGAAAGAUUGGAUGAAAUAUAAACUGUCUCUUUUAUAAAAAAAAAAUUGAAUUUAAUUUUUUAAUUAAAAAGUUAAAAUUAUUUAAAAAGACGAGAAGACCCUAUAGAGUUUUAUAAUUUAUUUUGUAAAUAUUUUUAUUUUUAUAUUUUUAUAAUUUUAAAUUAUUUUGUUGGGGUGAUAAAAAAAUUUAAUUAACUUUUUUUAAUAGUUUACAUUAAUAAGUGAUUAAAUGAUCCAAUUUUAUUGAUUAAAAGAAAAAAUUACCUUAGGGAUAACAGCGUAAUUUUUUUUUUUAGUUCAAAUAAAAAGAAAAGUUUGCGACCUCGAUGUUGGAUUAAGAUAAAAUUUAAAUGUAGAAGUUUAAAAUUUUGAUCUGUUCGAUCAUUAAAAUCUU